CGGCGAGUGAACAGGGAAAAGCCCAGCACCGAAGCCUGUGGCCAUUUGGUUACUAGGCAAUGUGGUGUUUAGGUCGUUCCGCAGAGGUUCUGCUCCACCCUAAGUCCAUCAAUGAGUAUGGUAGUAUGGACAUGGCCCAAAGAGGGUGAAAGGCCCGUGGGGGUGGAGAUUCGUUUGGACAGAGCCUCUCUGGUGAGACCUUGGAGUCGGGUUGUUUGUGAAUGCAGCCCAAAGUGGGUGGUAAACUCCAUCCAAGGCUAAAUACUAGCACGAGUCCGAUAGCGAACAAGUACCGUGAGGGAAAGUUGAAAAGUACUUUGAAGAGAGAGUAAACAGUGCGUGAAACCGCUCAGAGGUAAACGGGUGGAGUUGAACUGCAAGCUUUGAGAAUUCAGCUGAUGAGUGUGGUUUGAGCUUGGUCAAAUUGGUGAACUCCGGGGUCUGCGUAGUAGCAGGUCUUUGCCUUCGGGUGAGGAUGCGCGAUACACUUGUCAAGUGUUGUGCGCUUCGGUUGUUCUUCGGCCUGCUCGUCAGUGCACUUUCUCUUAGUGGUCACCACGACCGGCACCGCUGUCUGGCUUCUUCGGUUAAACCGGUUUUGCUUAGUCAUAAGGCUUUGCUUGAUCGGGAGGGCAGGUAGCUCGUUGACUUGCUUGUGGUUCGCUGCAAGCGUUCGGUUUUCGAGUGUUAUUAGCUGACCGGAGUAGUACUGUGCAGUGUGUCGGAGACGGCGGCUUGUAGUGCGUGCAUGCGUGCCUGUUCUGCUGACUUGUCCGAGUUUGGUUAUUAUGUUGCCUGUUCAAGCAGGCCUGGUGAUGGCUCGGAUUCGUUCGGUGGGCGGUUGCGUGUGUUGCACCUUUCAGGGCCAACAGUCUGUGGUGUAGUGGUAGACUUUCCACCCGACCCGUCUUGAAACACGGACCAAGGAGAGUAACAUGUACGCGAGUCAUUGGGCGUUACGAAACCCACAGGCGCAGUGAAAGUAAAGGUCUGACUUGUUCAGGCUGAGGUGAGAUCCUGUCGUUUCUCACGCGCGGUACUACCAAGCAUCGAGCGGCAGGCGCAUCACCGGCCCGUCCCAUGGCAGUUGUCUUCGGACAGUUUUCGGUCGGGGCGGAGCAUGAGCGUACAUGUUGAGACCCGAAAGAUGGUGAACUAUGCUUGCGCAGGUUGAAGCCAGAG
rnacentral:rRNA from 1 species